AGAGUUUGAUCCUGGCUCAGGAUGAACGCUAGCUAUAGGCUUAACACAUGCAAGUCGAGGGGCAGCAUGGGAGUUGCUGCAAUUCCUGAUGGCGACCGGCGCACGGGUGAGUAACGCGUAUCCAACCUUCCCCUUAGUAGGGCAUAGCCCGGUGAAAAUCGGAUUAAUACCCUAUGUUCUUCACAGCAGACAUCUAACGUGAAGCAAAGGUUUACCGCUAAGGGAUGGGGAUGCGUCUGAUUAGGUAGUAGGCGGGGUAACGGCCCACCUAGCCUUCGAUCAGUAGGGGUUCUGAGAGGAAGGUCCCCCACAUUGGAACUGAGACACGGUCCAAACUCCUACGGGAGGCAGCAGUGAGGAAUAUUGGUCAAUGGGCGAGAGCCUGAACCAGCCAAGUAGCCGUGCAGGAUGACGGCCCUAUGGGUUGUAAACUGCUUUUAUAUGGGGAUAAAGUUCACCACGUGUGGUGUUUUGUAGGUACCAUAUGAAUAAGGACCGGCUAAUUCCGUGCCAGCCGCGGC
rnacentral:rRNA from 1 species